rnacentral:rRNA from 1 species
AUUGAACGCUGGCGGCAUGCCUUACACAUGCAAGUCGAGCGGCAGCGCGGGGGCAACCCUGGCGGCGAGCGGCGAACGGGUGAGUAAUGCAUCGGAACGUGUCCUUUUGUGGGGGAUAACCAGUCGAAAGACUGGCUAAUACCGCAUGAGCUCGAGAGAGGAAAGCAGGGGACCCGAGGGUAACUUCGGGCCUUGCGCGAGAGGAGCGGCCGAUGCCCGAUUAGCAGUUGGUGAGGUAACGGCUCACCAAGGCGACGAUCGGUAGCUGGUUUGAGAGAACGACCAGCCACACUGGGACUGAGACACGGCCCAGACUCCUACAGGAGGCAGCAGUGGGGAAUUUUGGACAAUGGGGGCAACCCUGAUCCAGCCAUGCCGCGUGUGUGAAGAAGGCC